GAGUAGGAGGGCGCGGCGGUCGC
rnacentral:snRNA from 1 species